GUGCUUGCUUCGGCAGCACCUAUACUAAAAUUGGAGCGAUACAGAGAAUAUUAGCAUGGCCCCUGUGCAUGGAGAUGCCAAGUUUGCAGGGAGUGGCUUAGCUUAUUGUA
ensembl:snRNA U6 U6 spliceosomal RNA